UUUGAAAGCAAGCCCAAUGGGAAUAGCUGCUGGAAGUUCUAAUGGAUUCUCACAAACACCAAUUCUAAAAGGUCAGUAUUCGAUUUCUUAUAAAGUAUUGUUUUCAUGGUGCCACAAACCCUAAUCGUUGCAUACGGCAAUUUCCUAUCUGAUCAAGAUUCGUCUUUAAUUUGAUUAAUUCAAACGUUUGUGUUUAUUUUGUAAUGAUUGUAUAUGUAGAUCGAUUUUAAUUUCUUCAUAUUUCGGACAACAAAUCUGCCCUUGAAAAGAAGGUCAGAUGGAGGAAGUUUAGGACCCGAAGUACGUUUGCGGGAAAGGCGACAUCAACUUCUCGAUCAGAGAUGGAUGAUGACAUAGUGAAUAUAUGGAAUCUCAGAGGCUCAAAAAAUGUAGUGCUGCUGCCUUGGAUAUGAUCUCUAAUGUGUUUGGUAAUGAGAUUUUUUCAGCUAUUGUUCUAUAGAAUUCGGAACCUUAGUUUCGAUAUAAAUCAUGAGUUUAUUGGUAUUAUUCAU
rnacentral:lncRNA from 1 species